GACCCUUUUACUUUUCACAUUGAAAAGUUGAAAUUUUUCAUAAAAAAAUUGAAACUUUUAAAAAAAUAAAAAUUGAAACUUUAUGACACCCUUUUUCUCUAAUUUUUCAAUCAUCACAUUGUCAUUGACCAUUGUCUUCUCUCACAUUACAAGUUCCAAUCUUUCUAAGUGAAACUUUCAAUUUCAAUUUGGAAACUUUGUUCAUCAUGUCUAAACAAGAAAAUUCAAAACAUGGUUGUUUCUCUAGUUUCUUAAAAGUACUUAUUUGUGCUAAAAAUGGAACUAGUCCACCAGUGUAUCCAUCUGAAAAUGUUGAAGAAACAGAAUCAAUUCAUAGCAAAAAAGAUAAACUUUUUGAUGAUACUAUUACUCCUGGUGUAGUUGCAAGGUUAAUGGGGUUGGAUUCACUUCCAAAUACCAAAAGGGUCAUCAAAGGAACAACCUUAGACACUGUUCCAAGAAGUAGAUCGGUUAAUUUUGUUGAUUAUUUGCUCGAGUUUGAUCGAAACAUGUCGAAUCAUCGCCGAGCGAAAACAUCGGCAUCUUUUCGAGAAGUUCCUUCAAUUUUUCCAAUGAAGAAAAGUGACCCUUUUGUUGUUAUUGAUGAUAAUAUUUUAAAGGUUCAAGAAGGUAACUUGAGAAAAAAGAAUAAGGAAAUUGUGAGAGUGAAAAAGGAAAAAAUUCAAGGGAAGAAUAAGAAAAUAUCUAAGUUGAAAGAUGAACCAAGAAGGUUCCCUUUAUCUUCUUCUUCUUCUUCUAAGUAUAAAUCAAAGAUUGGAAAUUGUGGUAAAGGUAAAGAAUUUUCAAGUGUAAAGAAUUCUCAAAGUUGUAAGAGUUGUAAUUGUAGUUAUUAUGGAUAUGGUGAUGUUGGUUCAAGUUCAAGUUCAAAUUCAAUUUCUCCAAUGCCAAAUAGGCAUAAGAAAGGGUUUGUUGAAUCAAAAAUGAAGAACAAGGUGAAAAAAAAUUGUGUCACCAAAGAAGAUUCAGAGAGAACAUAACAUGGAAAAUCUUAGUCCAAUUUCAGUUCUAGAUGUCAAUGAUUAUGCUUUUCUCUAUGGAGCUGAUUUUUCAGGUACAAGCACUUUGGCUUCAAAGUCAAAGAGGAAAUCUAAAUCUUUAUUGGCAGUGUCCUUGAAUCAAGAUGAUGAAGAGAAAGGAAGCAAUAAUAAAGGUUAUGUCCACACUGACAUCAACAGAGAAGCAGAGUAUUACUCAGAUUUGAUGCUGAAGCUUCAAACUUUGGCAGAAGAAAGUAUAAGGGAGUCAGAUUUCACAUCAAAGUUUAUGUUUGAGGAAAUUUGUUUGGUGUUUGAACAAACAAUUUUCGACCAUUUAUUAUUUGAGGUUGUUAAUGAAGUUGUAGGAUUAUCUUCUUGAAAAUAUUGUCAUAUUUUGUCUCUAAAGCAUAUAUAGAAAGAGUCUUUUGUUAGUUAG